rnacentral:misc_RNA from 1 species
GAUGAAGAACGCAGCGAAAUGCGAUAAGUAAUGUGAAUUGCAGAAUUCAGUGAAUCAUCGAAUCUUUGAACGCACAUUGCGCCCGCCAGUAUUCUGGCGGGCAUACCUGUUCGAGCGUCAUUACAACCCUCAGGCCCCCGGGCCUGGCGUUGGGGAUCGGCGGAGCCCCCCGUGGGCACACGCCGUCCCCCAAAUACAGUGGCGGUCCCGCCGCAGCUUCCAUCGCGUAGUAGCUAACACCUCGCGACUGGAGAGCGGCGCGGCCACGCCGUAAAACACCCAACUCUUCUGAAGUUGACCUCGAAUCAGGUAGGAAUACCCGCUGAACUUAAGCAUAUCAAUAAGCGGAGGA